AAUACAAAUAUUUACACAAAUAAAGCCGAAAGUAGUUAACUGGACAAGUCCUAAAAACGGAAUGAGCUGUAACAUAAGCCCAGGAAAGCCAGACGGAAACGCCCCUUUUGGCUGGAGCCAAAGUGCGAGGAAAUUGUGAGGCAGGCACUUAAACAGGCUCAAAGGCGAAGAGCAUCUUUCAGUUUCCAGUUUCUAGUUCAUUUAUCAACGAAAAAUGGCAAUGAAAAGUGCCCAAGUGCUUAAGCUCAUCUAUCAAUAUAUUUGCCGGAUAUUAAGCGUCAACUUUAUUGAAGUGACCACCACAAUUAAAUACCCCUUCUAUCAAUGUUAAUCGCAGAAGUGGGAGGAAGCAAAAGUAUAAACCGAAGAGAAUUGUUAAACAGCAGCUGACCAGGAUGAUGUACAGAGCUGAAUAUGUCCUAGGAAGAUUUACGACUCGAGUGCAGGAAUCAGGGAACGCUAGCGAACAAGGCAUGCAAAUAAGAGGAACUUCCUUUCACAUAAACCAAAAUCAAUUUGUAAUUAUGUAAAAGCUGAGAAAAAUACGAGAGGAAGGUGUGAAAACGAAGCAGAUAAAUUUGGUAGCAUAAGUGAAAAAUAUGUUAAGUGCAUUAAAAUGAAAUUUCCAUUUCGCAAUCAACAUAUAUAUGUAUGGAUAUACAAAUGUAUAUUUGUAUAUACAUAUAUUUAUUAUAGUGUAUGGGGCGUAAUCAUCAGCAUGUACAGCAGCAAAUAUCAUUUAAAUUGUUGUAAUACAUCGUCCAGAUAUACAUGCAAAAUGAAUAAGCCGACAAUUGCCAUGGCUCAAUGGGCAUUUGGGACGUGCCAGACCCUAAAAAAUGCCAUACUAUGCACAAAUUGCUUUUACUAAAGAGAAGCAAUAAAGACAGCUAAAAUAAGAUAUGGAGAAAUUGUCAUUGAGAAUAAAAAUACAUAUGGACUCGUAUAUUUACAUAUGUAUAUA